UCCCAUGACCUGACUGUUGAAGUGACAAA
rnacentral:piRNA from 1 species